rnacentral:lncRNA from 1 species
GAAAGGUGUGAAGGAAUGCAAGAGCUGUCUGCAGGAGAUCAAUGACCCAGCAGAGCUGUUCUGAAGCCACAUUUUCUGCACUCAGUAUAUCCUGGAUUGGGCAAACAAGCAGUACAAGAUCUGCAAGAAGGAAUAUCCAGAGGAUUACAUACCCACAGCUUCAGAGGCCACGGGGUAUCCUGGCACUGGGAAGCCAUUGCAUGUCACAGCAAAUUCAGGAGGAAAUGCAAUUCCUUCUUUGAUGAGUUGUCACCAUGUUCUUUUUGGGAAACAGACACACACCAUCCCCAGCAGUCAUUAAAUGACUGAUGAAGUUUGUGGCCUGCAAACCACCCAACCCUGAGCAUCAGGAGGGAAAACAGGGUAAGGGCCUGUCUACACUGUAGGCAUGUACUCUUGGAAGAAAAAUAACAAAUGCCAUCCUUUGUUCCUAGUAUACAAGCAAAAAAGCAAGUUGUCACCCUUCAAAGAGUGCACGAACACCAGUCCUACCAUCCAUCCAGUCCUGCCUCUUAAAGCUCCUCCUGAGAUGCAGGUUUACUUGGAAGAAUACCUCUCCCAGAUAGAGGAGAAGAUAACAUCCAACCAAAGUAACAGGGACCAUUUCUACUUCAUGGUGCAUUGUCUGGAGGUGAGUGCCCUUGGGAUGCACUGGGAAUCCCAAAGGGUACAUAAACUAGGAC